rnacentral:rRNA from 1 species
GUGCCAGCCGCCGCGGUAAGACGUAGGGGGCAAGCGUUAUCCGGAUUCACUGGGCGUAAAGGGCGCGUAGGCGGUUACGUAAGUCCGGCGUGAAAUCUCACGGCUCAACCGUGGAAUGCCGUCGGAUACUGCGUUGACUAGAGGGCGGUAGAGGUACCUGGAACUAGCGGUGUAGCGGUGAAAUGCGCAGAUAUCGCUAGGAACGCCGGUGGCGAAGGCGAGGUACUGGGCCGUUCCUGACGCUGAGGCGCGAAAGCUAGGGGAGCGAACCGGAUUAGAAACCCUCGUAGUCC